GAACAAAGCUUCAUUCUUCAGGGAGAAAAACAUGAGCCAUUGUAUGGCAGGAAAGAGUUCCUAGAGAGAGAAUACAAAGACGGUCUGUAUUGCAAAAGAAGCCCCAGGCUGAAGACUG